UACGGAGGGUGCAAGCGUUAAUCGGAAUUACUGGGCGUAAAGCGUGCGUAGGCGGUUCGUUAAGUCUGAUGUGAAAGCCCUGGGCUCAACCUGGGAAUUGCGUUGGAUACUGGCAGGCUAGAGUGCGGUAGAGGAUGGCGGAAUUCCCGGUGUAGCAGUGAAAUGCGUAGAGAUCGGGAGGAACAUCUGUGGCGAAGGCGGCCAUCUGGACCAGCACUGACACUGAGGCACGAAAGCGUGGGGAGCAAACAGG
rnacentral:rRNA from 1 species